rnacentral:lncRNA from 1 species
GGUCUUUAUUUUUGAUAUAUUCCAUCCACAAUUUCUUUAUACUCAUUCUGGGUCAAUAAUAUGUCAGAAAAGUGGAGGUACGAUCUGUCUAAUGGUAACUUUGUUUUCACACUUUCACUAGUGAUGAUCUGAAAAGUUUCGGACUUUUCGUUGAAUUGGCCGUGGAUCACUCAUCUGAAUAAGUGGUGCACUGCAGCUACACUGCUGAUAGUUUUGGGAUUAGACUACACUCCUUUUUAUAUUCUUUUAUUCUGUACCUAUAUUUGGAAUUUGGAUGAUAAAAAUUUUAAAAGAAAAUAAAUAAUGUGAAAUUAAUAAUUUUUUAUUAUUUAAAUUACAAAGCAAUAAUGACUAGAAAAAUAGUAAGGAUUC